GAAGAUAGAAGUUCUGAAGAAACGCUUCUUGGUUUGUUGAAGCCCGACAGACUCAAUAGUUAACCAGGAAUGCAACAUCACCCCCACCAGGAUCACCACCAGCUAAAGGACAGAUAUUUCUACUGAGCUCCAGAGCAGAGGGAUAAAAGACCAAGAAAGGGCACCCGGAAGGACCUUGAACAAGAAGAAAUCCAGGAUCUAGUAGAAAGCUGUGAGCUGAUUCUGGAUUGGUCAUACAGAUGGGGAUCCAACCGGGAUUACCCCAAUGGGAUUGAUUGAGUACUUUCUUAUUUGACAUGGAAACAAGCACAUUUUACUUUAUUAGGAAGCAAACCAAGACAAACACAUGGACACAUAAGCACACACAAUCACACACAAACACACACAAACACACACACACAAAAAGACACACAGAUCUGACCUCUCUUGGGACAUGUCUUCAGAUUUCUUCCUUAAAACCUCCUCUUCCUCGCCUCCAUCUAUGGCGCUACCUCUGUGCGUUCCCACGGUAACACUUGUCAGCGGUGGGGGAAGGAGGGAGAGAAGAGGGGGGUUGAGGCACCCUCACCCCCACAUUGACAACAGAGGAAGCCGAGAGGCGUUAGGAGCUGUGGUCCAGGCUUCCUGUGAGGCAGCAGAUGUCUGAGAGAGGAACACAGCUGUGGCCCAUGAUAACCUGCAUGGCAGGAAUAUGUCUGCACACCCCUCCUCCUCUGUCUUAUCAGCUUGGCGCACACACACACACACAAACACACACACAAAAACACACAAACUCACACAGUCUCUCUCUCUCUCUCUCUCUCUCUCUCUCUCUCUCUCUCUCUCUCUCUCUCACACACACACACACACACACACACACACACACACACACACACACACACACACACACACACACACACACACACACACACACACACACACACACACACACACACACACGCAAACACCUAAACACAAUUGCUCAAAAAAGGAACUGCCACUGCCGCAUCAACUGCAGUUUCUAAUAUAGAGAGUGUGCGUGUGUGUGUGUGUGUGUGUGUGUGUGUGUGUGUGUGUGUGUGUGUGUGUGUGUGUGUGUGUGUGUGUGUGGGUGUGAGAGAGAGUUUGUGUGUGUAUUUCAGUGAGAGAGAAAGGGAGAGAGAAAGACAGAGAGAGAGACAAUUUACCUCUAAAAGAGUAGGUGUAUUGACUCACUGACAAAGAGCUGCUUCAUCCUCGUUGCAUGACAGAAAUAAUAGAGCUCUGAAGGAAUAACCAUGAACCAUGGACCCUAAAAAAAGGAGUCCUAACAGAGAUAAAAAACAUUUGACAAAGUCAUAACAAACUGAGUCCCUCAACGUAGAUGUAAAGGUUUUGGCCGGGGUGUCAAGAUCCCAGGUUAAUUGUUGAUAUCGUCUAUGUCAAGGUGUAAAUCAACCAUGAUUUUUUUCAGUGAGAGAGAAAGACAGAGAGAAAGACAGAGAGAGAGAAAGAGAAUUUGCCUCUAAAAGAGUAGGUGUAUUGACUCAUUAACAAAGAGCUGCUUCAUCCUUGUUCAAUGACAGACAUCAUAGAUCUCUCAAGGAAUAUCCAUGAACCAUGGACCCUAAAAAAAAGUCCUUAUUAACAUAGACUUAAAGUUUUUGGCCGGUGUGUCAAGAUCCCAGGUUAAUUGUUGAUUUUGUCUAUGCCAAGGUGUACAUCAACCAUGAUUUUUGAUCAACUGACCCUCCUCAUGGGGUAGUAGCGUUCCGAAGUUUUGCACAUGGCGAACAGACAUCCACUAUAUCCAAAACGAGAGUCUAGCAGCUCCCAUAGCUGUAUCUGGUUUUGUAGCUGUUACCCCAGUAAGUUACCCAGACUGCCCUGCGUAGGAAUCUAUCUCCAACUCUCCGUAGACGCAGUGGAGACUAAGGGCUCUGAUUGGUCCUCUAACAAAAUCAUUUCCGGAAUCCCUUUUCCCGGUUUGACUUUGCACUUUAUUUACCUUAUACAUUGUUUACUUUGCACAUUAAGGACCAAUAAAACACCAAAUACGAAUUGAAAGCAUGUAAAUAAGCAGCCAGCCUAUUAACAUGGUUAGUAGUCAGCAUAUAAGAUCGACCGGGCGGCGAAUUGCAUUGCAUAUCCGACAUCCCGACGGAGAACUUCGAAGGCCCGAGGGUUCUCCGUAGUCGGAUUAUGAAUUAUUGAGUCGGAGUGGUAUACUUUGGCCUUUAGACCAAGCAGCGGAGAACACACUGUUGGUUUGGACUGAGCGGAGGUAAUAUAAUAACAACCGAUGAAUAUUGGUUGCUAUACUAUUCCCACCACCCAUACCUGCCAAGAAUGUUGUGUUUUGAAGAACCUAAUUGUUUUAAUUAAUAAACAUUAAUUAACAUACAUUCAUUCAAAUAUGUUUGGGGUGAUACUUAAUAUACUUACUUACUGAAUUUUUUUAAUAAUAGAUAUAUUAAGACGUGUGAUGAGCUGAAAGUAAAAGAAAAAUACCACUGAUACCACUUUAAGUUAUUCUGUCUCUGUCGCUCUCUCUGUAUCUAUUAUAUCUGUAUAAAACAUGGUUACUGUUUGUUAACCAGUCACCUCUCUCUCUCUCUGAGAUAAUCUGUGUUGAUGGUAUGAAAUGAAAGAGCACGGCAAGACUGCAAGAAUUGUAUCUGAGGAGCAUCUUGUUAUUUAGGUCUUUCAUUCUCACUUUUGUUCUCUUGUUGUUUAGUUCUGUAGCUCUUUAUUCCGUUUUCUUGGAGCUUCUUUCUGUAAUUGUUUAUUUUUCUCUCUUGUUGUUUGGUUACAAAAUUCUUUCUUUUUGUUCUCUUGUUGUUUGUAGUUCUUUAUUUUCCUCGCUUGUUCACUCGUUCUUCCAUUUUUUGAAUACUUUUGUUAUUUUGUUCUCUGGUUCUCUCAGAAUUUGCUCUUUCAUUCUUUCUUUCUGUUGUUCUUUCUUGCCAUCGUUCUCUCGCCCUUUAUUUUCCCAGAUUGCGAUAGACUCUCAUCCUCUUCAUCAGUCCGCUCCAGAUAAGGGAAAUCGACGUUGUGAUGUCUUUAAUGGCGGCUUGUUGAUUGGUGUGUUGUGCUGAAUGUGCAUGGGGCGUGUGCACAAGGCUGUGCACGUGAGGGGAUCUGGAACACAAUGGAGCCAGUUCUGCUUCCAGGGCUCGUGGGCCUUAUCUCCCCUUAGCACGCUGGCCUGGGACUGAGGCUCUAGGACAGGAUUUACAGUAACCACACACCUUCCUGUCUACACCAGAACAGCUUCACGCUCCAGCUCUAGUGCUCACUCUCUCCCUUAUGCCUCUCUAAAUCUAGCCCAACUCAUCUGACUAUAGCUUUCUCUCUCCUGCAUCCAUCUCUCUCUCUCUCUCUCUCUCUCUCUCUCUCUCUCUCUCUCUCUCUCUCUCUCUCUCUCUCUCUCUCUCUCUCUCUCUCUCUCUCUCUCUCUCUCUCUCUUUUGUUCACCGCUCGGUCUCUCUUUCCCGCUCAGUCAAUUUCUCUCUAAACUCUCUCUAGCUCAUCACCUGUGUCUCUCCCUCUUCCAUGAGAUGUAUAUAUAUAUAUAUAUAUAUAUAUAUAUAUAUAUAACUCACUGCCUAUGGCUCUCUCUACCAGCCAGUUGGUCUCUCAAUGUGACAGCCAACUGUAUCAUCUCCAUCUCAUCUGCCCCCCACACCUCGAUCAGAUACUGUCCAGAAGAUGGGAGACCAAGAGAGGGAUUCAAUGGGAGAUAGAGGAGAGGGAGAGAAAGAUGUCUGCUCAUGUGUGUGUUUGAUUGUGUGUGUCUGUUUGUUUGCCUGUGCGUGUGUGUACGUGUGUGUGUGUGUGUGUGUGCGUGUCACCAUUAAGGUCGACAGAGCAGGCCGCAGGUGUUACUUGUGUUGUGUCACAUGACACACUGUGCUAUCAUGGCAAGCCUGAUCUGAUUGGCUCCUGUUGAUCAGGGGACGCUCCAAGGUCUGCCCUACAACCAAUCGGAAGGAAGAAUAAAUUAAAAAGAUUGAGGAGG
ensembl:lncRNA